GUGGGGAAUAUUGCACAAUGGGCGAAAGCCUGAUGCAGCAACGCCGCGUGAGGGACGACGGCCUUCGGGUUGUAAACCUCUUUUAGUAGGGAAGAAGCGAAAGUGACGGUACCUGCAGAAAAAGCACCGGCUAACUACGUGCCAGCAGCCGCGGUAAUACGUAGGGUGCAAGCGUUAUCCGGAAUUAUUGGGCGUAAAGAGCUCGUAGGCGGUCUGUCGCGUCUGCUGUGAAAACUGGAGGCUCAACCUCCAGCCUGCAGUGGGUAUGGGCAGACUAGAGUGCGGUAGGGGAGAUUGGAAUUCCUGGUGUAGCGGUGGAAUGCGCAGAUAUCAGGAGGAACACCGAUGGCGAAGGCAGAUCUCUGGGCCGUAACUGACGCUGAGGAGCGAAAGCGUGGGGAGCGAACAGGAUUAGAAACCCCAGUAGUCC
rnacentral:rRNA from 1 species